GUUAAAACACUGGUUUCUUUACGAUCACCGAAGUUAAGCAACAUCGAGCCUGGUCAGUACCUAGGUGGGUGACCGCUUGGGAAUACU